AUUGAACGCUGGCGGAAUGCUUUACACAUGCAAGUCGAGCGGCAGCACGGGGGCAACCCUGGUGGCGAGCGGCGAACGGGUGAGUAAUACAUCGGAACAUGCCCAGUCGUGGGGGAUAACACUUCGAAAGAAGUGCUAAUACCGCAUACGUCCUGAGGGGGAAAGCGGGGGAUCGCAAGACCUCGCGCGAUUGGAGUGGCCGAUGUCAGAUUAGCUAGUUGGUGGGGUAAAGGCCUACCAAGGCAACGAUCUGUAGCUGGUCUGAGAGGAUGAUCGGCCACACUGGGACUGGGACACGGCCCAGACUCCUACGGGAGGCAGCAGUGGGGAAUUUUGGACAAUGGGGGCAACCCUGAUCCAGCCAUUCCGCGUGAGUGAAGAAGGCCUUCGGGUUGUAAAGCUCUUUCGGCAGGAACGAAACGGUGAGCUCUAACAUAGCUUGCUAAUGACGGUACCUGAAGAAGAAGCACCGGCUAACUACGUG
rnacentral:rRNA from 1 species